AGAGACCAACCGCUCAGCCUGAAUCAAUGGAACUCGUUGGUCUAAACUAUACCCCGGUGGCGUUUCAGCUGUGUUUGUGGGAUCUGAGUGCUUUCUGGAAAUGUCUACCCGGAGAUAUAGGACUUAAGGGGGUACCUACUUGUUAAGUGUGUAUUUUGGGGUGUUUUUGUUAUGUAUGUCCUGGACCUGAGAGUUAAUGUAAUUGUUUGCGUGCUUUUACUGAAGUCCCCUCUCAGGUCCAGUGGGGAAUGUCCCUGGAAUAUGUAACAAGAAACCCCUUGCAUGGGGACUUGCAUAUAAGGCC